GAUGAACGCUAGCUACAGGCUUAACACAUGCAAGUCGAGCGACCGGCGCACGGGUGAGUAACACGUAACCACCCUGCCCUGUACUCGGGGAUAGCCUUUCGAAAGAAAGAUUAAUACCCAACAUAAAGGAUGGGGAUGCGUUCCAUUAGGUUGUGGGUGAGGUAACGCCCCACCAAGCCUUCGAUGGAUAGGGGUGCUGAGAGGAAGGUCCACUGGAACGGAGCUGAGGCACGGUCCAAACUGGGAGGUGACGCAGGGGAGAGGAAUAUAAGGCAAGGGGCGCUAGCCUGAACCAGCCAAGUAUCUUGAAGGAUGAAUGGGUAUGAGGCGUAAACUACUGGUAAAGAAGAAUAGGUAUUAGAUGAAUAAGGACCGGCUAACUCCGUGCCAGCAGCCGCGGUAAUAC
rnacentral:rRNA from 1 species